rnacentral:lncRNA from 1 species
UCCACUCUCCAAUACCCUCUCCGCUUCCACUCACCGGCUCAAAUUUCUCUGGUUGUUCACCAAGUCAGAGCCUCCUCAGUCGAUGCUCCAUCUUCAUCAGGUCCUCUCUAUAUCCACCUGCAAUAUCUUAUGCGCUAGUUGCUAGUACUUCAAAUGCACUCUCUCUAUUUGACAAUUUAGAACUUUUGUGGAGUGUCCGCUAACUAAAUUUUUGUUAUAAGCAGACAAUGUGUUUAAAAUAACAUUUACCAAGAGUUUUGAAGUGAAUAUUAAUGAAAUUAGGUGGAGAAUCUUGUGAUUGCAAGUGGAAGUAGUAAGUCCAUUAGAAUAACUGAAAAGUUUAUAUAGGUAGCAGGAUUAAUUAGUUUAGUGAGGGGUAAUCUGUUACGAUCAGAAGGUCUCUAAGAAAACCAGCAAAGAAUCCUUGGUAUUUCGAAGUCAACAACAUGGAAAACAAGGGAAAUUGAGCAAGUCGCAAUCCUACAAGACCUCGUCAAGCUAUCAUCUUCUUUUGAUUUUAUGUUAUCCUUUUUAAUGUUAGAAUUGUUAUUUUACCUCCACUAUCCGUUGUGCUCUUGAAUAACAAGAACAAGUUGCUGUAAUUUUUUUGUUUAAGCUUUAUUAGAUUAUGAAUAAAGCAAGUUUCAUUUUACAACAAAUCCUUGUGGUAAUUCUAGCCCUAAAUAGAAACUGAUUCACUUUAAAUUCUUCUUGGUUCUGACCGGGACCUAACAAUUGGUAUUAGAGUCAUGACAGCUAAUAAAGAGAGAAUUGAGAACCUGGAAGCAAGCAUGGGUGGGGUAUAGGACCACCUGAGCCAAAUAGAAACUGGGCUGGCCGAUAGGAUCCAUCAACCUGAAGACACCAUUUGGCGAUUGGUGAAAUCCAUGGUGCUAACCCAAGAAGGUGUCAGUAGCAAUACCAAAGAACUGAUCAAGACCACCACAUUAGAUCCACGAAGAAGAACCCGAACAAACUAAAGGUGGGUCGCCAACUAUUUUAUUCAAAGCUUGCGAAGCUUAAGUUCUCUACCUAUUCUGGUGAUGAUAUGACAGAAUGGUUCAACUGCAUAGAAUAGUUCUUCAACUACCAAGGGACGACUUUCGAUCAGAAAAUACAGCUUGCCUCCUUCCACCUGUAGGGUGAAGCCAACUAGUGGUGGCAGUGGCUUCAUCAGGCUUACAA